rnacentral:rRNA from 1 species
AUUGAACGCUGGCGGCAUGCCUUACACAUGCAAGUCGAACGGCAGCGGGGGAGAAGCUUGCUUUUCCUGCCGGCGAGUGGCGAACGGGUGAGUAAUACAUCGGAACGUGCCCUGUAGUGGGGGAUAACUAGUCGAAAGAUUAGCUAAUACCGCAUACGACCUGAGGGUGAAAGUGGGGGACCGCAAGGCCUCAUGCUAUAGGAGCGGCCGAUGUCUGAUUAGCUAGUUGGUGGGGUAAAGGCCUACCAAGGCGACGAUCAGUAGCUGGUCUGGGGGGACGUGCAGCCGAACUGGGAGUGAGACACGGCCCAGACUCCGACGAGAGGCAGCAGUGGGGAAUUUUGGACAAUGGGCGAAAGCCUGAUCCAGCAAUGCCGCGUGUGUGAAGAAGGCCUUCGGGUUGUAAAGCACUGUUGUCCGGAAAGAAAUGGCUCUGGUUAAUACCUGGGGUCGAUGACGGUACCGGAAGAAUAAGGACCGGCUAACUACGUGCCAGCCGCCGCGGUAA